GUGGGGAAUAUUGGACAAUGGGCGCAAGCCUGAUCCAGCCAUGCCGCGUGAGUGAUGAAGGUCUUAGGAUUGUAAAGCUCUUUCACCGGUGAAGAUAAUGACGGUAACCGGAGAAGAAGCCCCGGCUAACUUCGUGCCAGCAGCCGCGGUAAUACGAAGGGGGCUAGCGUUGUUCGGAAUUACUGGGCGUAAAGCGCACGUAGGCGGAUAUUUAAGUCAGGGGUGAAAUCCCAGAGCUCAACUCUGGAACUGCCUUUGAUACUGGGUAUCUUGAGUAUGGAAGAGGUGAGUGGAAUUCCGAGUGUAGAGGUGAAAUUCGUAGAUAUUCGGAGGAACACCAGUGGCGAAGGCGGCUCACUGGUCCAUUACUGACGCUGAGGUGCGAAAGCGUGGGGAGCAAACAGGAUUAGAUACCCGAGUAGUCC
rnacentral:rRNA from 1 species